rnacentral:pre_miRNA from 1 species
UCUUAUGGGUGAGCAAGGAUAGUGGUUUCUUGAGAUCAAAUCUACUCCUAGUGAAGAUGCUGUGAA